GCAGAUUGGGGGGAGGAGAGGGGCGGCGGCGGGGGAGGGCUAGGUCAGGAGGCCCGUUGGGAAGGAGGGUGGGUGGCGGCUGGAGCGGCACGAGGAGUGGGUGGCGGGUGGAGCAGGGAGGGAGGGGAGUGGUAGAGAGGGAUGGGAGGCGGGAGACGGGGGACGGAGCUAGGGGGUCUAGGUUACCUGUGUUGGGGCGGCGGGGGCGUGGGGCAUGACAGGUGGUACCGGCGGAGGAGGAGGAGGAGCGAGGCCUAGGGGCGUGGUUGGGUGGUGGGGCGGUACCCCUGCGCAGGCACCGCCGACGGGAAAGUGCGGCAGAAGCAGACGGGGGCGUCGAGGCGUCAUAGGAGGCAGAAGCGGAGGAGGGGCAGAGGCAGACGCUCAACUAACCAGCACGUUCACCACACCACACCGUCAAUGUACUGCUCGGGCCUCGACCUGCUCCCGCGCCACCUCUCCGUCGGCCGCCGCCGCAGCGCGCCACCGCCCCAUCGGCACGUCCGCUCCCUGCCCCACAAGUGCACCCUGCUGCUCCUCUGCCUCCGACCCUACCUCCACGAAGCUCCGUAGCUGGACCUCUAGGCGUCGCCGUUCGACCGGCGCCACCAGCCGUACCAGCCCAGGCCGUUCAGCAGCGACGAGCCGACGUAGGAGCUACCCUACGCGUUCCAGAGGCCAUUCCGAUGUCUUUCCAACCUUCAUCGGAUGGGUUGUUAUUUCCUCGACCGAGAACAACCACGAGAUUCCGACACUUCGUUCGUAGCGUUAUCGAAAACAGCAACCGACACUUCCGUUAAGUUCUUUUAUUACGUUUCGAACUGUUCCUCCGUUGACUACACAAGUCAACCACGGACUGAGUCUCAGGUUUCAGGAUGUUCGACACCCUGUUCGAAGUACGUCUCUUAUGGGUUCGAUGUUAAAUGAGGUUAAGUGUACAAAACUUAAGAAGUUAGAACUUAACAAAUUACUACUAUCGAUAGAACGUGGCAUGAUAUUUUAGUACCUAGCCGUUGAUCGACUAACAGUCAGUACCUUUAAGUAUGGUACGGAGCUUUACAAACUAACUGGUAGAAUAAGAAUAACUAUGUAUUUUUGAACUGUAAAAACAACAUUUUUGUAUGUACAUAUAUACAACUAUCAGAUCAUUCUUGAACAACACAGACCCAAACACCUAGAAUUUUUUAUAUAGUAGAUACGAAAAUAGGAACUUGAUAACGAUACCGGUACUUACGGGUACGCAUGGAAACAACAGUGAAAAAUCCCACACGCAUCAAACAAUUAAGUCCAUUGAUGUCCUAUAGGAAUGAGCAUGUUUUACGGGUCAACAACAAGAACAUUUAUAUCCGCACGGAUGGCAGCGGGGUAGCUGUGGUAGUGGUUUGUCUUUUCCCGAGAUCGGAGAAGAAUACUGUUCUUUUUAUCCGCAACAAUGGACAAACGUAGACUCUAACGUAUUAUAACCUCCUUGUACGAAUUAACCGGACACGUAAACCGUCUAUAUCAACACAAACAAGACGAUGAUCGUAGGACAUGACAAAUCAACCAUAAACCAUAAUAUAAAAAAGAAGAUCGGGUCUAAAUAAGUAAAAUCUAGAACAACGUACUACACAGUACAUAUACUGAUCAUGAUGAUAAAGACGUACGAAUAUACAAACACGUAAAUGAUCGAAUCGAUGGUGUCAUCACAAGACAACUUUAAACUCCGUAUAGAAACAAGUAUUCACAGAAACAAGGGUACGUCACACGAAACUUUGCAUCCCGCUUACAACACCUCCUCAUCCCGCUUAGCCUGUAACAGAGCGAACACGGCGACACUAAUAGUCCGUAAUAAAUUACGACGACUCCCACAUUGUCUCACAAAGUUGGUUGUCGUCUUUUUAGUCAAACUACAUACCUACGAAGUACGCCACGAUCGAUUACUAGAGACAUGACUACUGUCAAAACACCAUUCACAUGACACCAUUUUACGUCUACAACUAAUAAAGGAACUGGUACCAACACUACACGAACCAAAAUCACCAGGACUACAUACUCAGAUGAAAAGGGCAAAGAACGACAAAAUUCUAUAGUACAGGCUAAAGUUACAACCCAGCCAGCUCAACAACUAAAAGAGUGGGACCAGUAUGGUAUUAUACAAACACAAAUCAGUACAUACGUAGAGGUAGAACGUUCGGACGGUAUGUACUAUCCUAAUCAUGAAUAAUUGAUAAGUAUACACGAACAUCUCUUCCUAUGUUAAUAAUAAAUUGGUCAGGUCUAAAAAAUGUAAACACACCGUUAGUAAGUUGAAAGUAACAUAGAGUGAUGUAUUUAAUCUAGUCCUAGUCCUAGAUUAAAUACAUCUAGUCCUAGUCCUAGUCUUCUUCGGACCUAUACAAGUGGUUCAAAAUAAACUACAACGGUGGUUCAAAACCACGUACACAUAAACAAAAAACUAACAUACAUGUGAACAACCUAACACGUCAUACACGAUAACAUGUACACGAUAACACUCAAAGUAACUAUCUAAAAACCUAAACUAGUAAAUUAACUCUCUUA
rnacentral:rRNA from 1 species